AAUAAAAGAUUACAGAAGUCAACUCCUGAAAUCCAAGCUGUUCUAACUAAAUCUGGACAAUGUUGCUCUACCAGCAAGAGACCCAGUGAUGUGUGCGUCCUAUCUUAUAGAUCUGUCCACAGAUCAGAAGAACCAUCUAUUAGAGCCACACAAUCUUGAGAAAUUAUGACCAAUUAUUAUUUUAAUCCAUAUAAUCCUAAUGUAUUUUGUAAGCGUCUGUUAGCAUUUUUUUUUAAUUUUGGUAUUAUUUCUAUAAGUUCUAAAAUGAAAUUUCAAGGUGCUGGAGAGAUGGCUCAGAAGUUAAGAAUGCUUGCAGCUCUUACAAAGUACCUGGCUGCCUUGUAGUUUCCAGUACCAGAACUCUAGCUCAUGGGAUCUCAUGGCCUCUGCUGGCUGCUGCCAGCACCCCCACUCACAUGUCCUACACAUGGACAUGACACAAAGAAAGACAGGCACUAUUAAAAAUAAAAUAAAUACUUUAAAAUUAAAUUUCAUGUGUAAAAUAAAUUCUAGCUUUUAAAUUUAGGAAUGAUGCCAUUUUCAAAUUUGAUCUAUUUGUAAAAUAAAAUUCCUUACCUUUGGAAGGUGGGAAAGUAUCAGCCUUUGUCCAUAUCUCCUUAUUACCCCGUUUUUAGUAAUACUUCCAAGAUCAUACACAUGAUCUUUUCUUUUCCAUGUGCUGUAUUGAACACAAAUUUAAGUAAUUGAUUUUAACUACUGAAGAUACGAAAUGAAGAAAUGGUAGACAGAGACACAGGAAUAGCUGGAUUUGGGUUGGGGUGAACUGGGCUUUCAGAUGGAGACAUCUCAGCACCCAGAAGCUCAGCUUGCUAGAACUGAGUGGGAGGUUGGGUUAGGACAUACAGCUGAUCAAAGAUGUGGGUUAUUAUUUACUGAUAGUCAGAGAUGUUGUGUUUAUUUUAUACAGUUAGGUCAAGGAAACAGUUUCAGCUAAUGUCAGUAGGUGAUGUAUCUGGUGGGAAGCAGUAUUCAGGCCUAUGUGUUUGGGGGCUGAAAAGUAUGCUGGGUAAUUUUGUACUCACUACCAAUAUUAGAAGAUGGACCAGAAAGCGAGGUUUUCCUCUGAGCCUCACUCAUGAAGGUGGGGGUGGGUUGGGAUUUACCACUUUUCCAUGGGUCCGAGAUUAAUGUAUUCCAUGUCUAUGCGGACAGCAAAAAUACACAUUCACUGAGGUCCUCACUCCCAGGGGGCGUUCCCAAUUCCUACUACCAUGACCUCUUUUUCUUCUCUCUAUCCACACAGUGUAAUUAAUAUAUACCUACACUUGACUUCCCAUCCUGGGUAUGUUUUCUGAAGGAGAAAUUUCUCUGUCUCCGGAAACAAUGAGAUUCCUUUUUAUAGUAAGGCAAGUCAAUUAUAACACAAGCCUUCCAUAAUGAUUUUUAUUUCCUCCUAAGGUCUGGUGAAAAGGGAUAGAUGAGUUAAUUUUAGCAGGGCAAUUAUUCAGCAAAGAAACAGCAGUGAGAAAAUAUUGCAUAAAUAUAGCUAGAUUAACAACACUUUUAAUAUCCCCAAAAUUUUUAAUAUUCCUAUCUGCAUUUGCCAAGGGAUAUAAGCACCUUAUAAGACAGAAAACAUAGGGGAUUUCAAUCUGGGUUGAGCUUACCUUGAAAUAUGGUUUAUAUCUAUUGUAUUGGAUAUUAUGCUAAUUUUACAUGUAAACUUGGAUUUACUAUAGGAUUCAACUUUUAGGCAAUGAACAAUACAAUGAUUACAUUAAAGAUAGUUUUAAGGUGUGAUUGACACUUAGAUAAACAUUUAAUAAAGAGUAAAAUUCUUUAUAAUGUUAUUCAACCAAUUGAAGGCAUUUGAGGAAAGCUAGGUUUCCUCAGCAAGAACAAUUUUGUAUGGAGACAGCUUUACUAAGGUUCCAUCCACCCUUGUCUGCUCGUGAAGCUCAGAGGAGUCCCCUGCAGAUUUAAAAUCUGCCCUCUGUAACCGUUUCCUGAAACUGAAUGGCCUCUCUUCUCCCCUUGGCCUCUACUUCUUCCUCUCUUCUCCAACUCAUCCCAUUUUUCAUACAACCUUUUCAUUUUGUUUCUCUGAUAGACCUCACUGACUCAAAUCCAGAUAGAACUAAGCUACCAAAUAGAAAGAUCUCUAACUACUAUCUUAAUUCCAAAAUAAACCUAAGAAAGUGCAUCUAGUUAUUGUUCUUACUGAGCAAGAGAAACUCGAUCCAUGUGAAGACAAGGGAAUAGUCCUGUGUAGUAUGAAACUGUACUGAGAACUCUGGUAUAUUACUCUUCACAGCCUUCUUCAUACCUUCAUAUAUUCAAGUAUUUACUAGGAACACAAUAUACUGGCAUUGGGAUUUAAUAGCAGUGAGAGGUUUUGUGUGUGUGUGUGUGUAUUGUUUAUUUAUUUAUGAUCUAUUUAUUUAUUUUCUGAUAUGGUUGUGGACUGCUGAGAUGCUGAAGCCAUUCUCAGUUCUGUCUUAUCUUCAGACUGUUAUUUCUUUUUAUUUAUCAAUGGAUUCAGAGGUAUUUGGUUUUUCUUCUUUAAGGGAAGAGAAAAAUCAUUGCAGUUGGAUAUGCUUUUGGUCUUGUUUUAAAAGUUGCGGUUCUCACUGCUGUGACAAAAUUCUUGGGAAGGAACAACUAAAUGGAGGGAUUUUGGUUCACAGUUUGAUGAUGUGGUUCAUUGGGGGUGGGGCAUGAUAUCGGGAGCAGGGCUUGGCUGUGGUUGCAGUGGUGUGAGGCAGCUGGUCCCUUGUGUCUGAAGACAAGCAGAAGAGAGAGAUGAACCCUGGAUAUAACUUCACUUGCUCUCCCUUCCUUAUUCAGUCCGUGACUCUGGCCCACAGAAUAGUUCUAUUCACCCUCAUGGUGAGUCUUCCUCACCUCAGAUGAACAUUCCUGGAAAUUACCUCCUCUAUAUGCCCAUGUGCCUUCUAGGUGACUUUAAAUGCUUUCCAAGUUGACAAUGAAGAUUAAUCAUCACAACUGCCCUAGCACAGCAUUUUUGCUCUCCACUCUUUCAUGACUGCCCAGUCUGCUACACACAUAUGUCUUUGAGUAAGGAAAAAAAAAAUGAGUGAGUGAGUUGCCGCAUCAAUAUUAUCCUUGAAGAAAGUAGAUUUAGAAGAGCUGGAUUUUUUAGGUUAUAUAAAGGAACAACCUUUAACAUCUAAAAUAAAGCUGUUUCUAAAUAUUGUAAGUAUUUAGAGAUUUCCUGGGAAGGAUUGUUACUCUGAUUUUAGCAGUGUUAGCAUUUUACGACCUUAUGAUACUGAGCUAGACAGCAUUUUUUUAGUGUGUCUGAGUGUGUCUCACUUACAUAAUAAAAGAGUUCCCUGAUAUUAAUAAUGUAUUUUCUGUGAUUGGUUUGGUUUGCAAUUCUGUCAGAAUAUUCUAUGUAGAAACAUAAAUUAGUUGCAAUAUAACAUGAUUCUAAAAAGCUAAAAUUCUUUAAAAAUAUAAAACUAUAACAUAGUAGAAAGAAUAUUCUCUUUACCUCAAAUGGAUAACAAUAAAAAAUAUUAAAUAUAAAAAUAUACUUAUAUAAACAUGCAUGGACAAAUAAACCCUAUUUCAUUGGAAAUUCACAUGGACAUUAUAUUUUUCUAUUAUUGAGACUUCAUAUGGUAGGGUAAACAGUUCC
rnacentral:lncRNA from 1 species